GGCUCAGUGGUCUAGUCGUAUGAUUGUCGCUUCGUAAGUCUCUCUUGCCUCGUGCUCACCACAGCUCCCUAACAAUUGCCAGGGGUAUCAAGCCCAGAUACAAAGUAUCGGAGAUGUGACAGGUCCCGGGUUCAAAUCCCGGCUGAGCCC